rnacentral:rRNA from 1 species
AGUGGGGAAUCUUGGACAAUGGGGGCAACCCUGAUCCAGCCAUGCCGCGUGAGCGAUGAAGGCCUUAGGGUUGUAAAGCUCUUUCAGCGGGGAAGAUAAUGACGGUACCCGCAGAAGAAGCCCCGGCUAACUCCGUGCCAGCAGCCGCGGUAAUACGGAGGGGGCUAGCGUUGUUCGGAAUUACUGGGCGUAAAGCGCACGUAGGCGGACCGACAAGUCGGGGGUGAAAUCCCGGGGCUCAACCCCGGAACGGCCUCCGAAACUGUCGGUCUGGAGGUCGAGAGAGGCGAGUGGAAUUCCGAGUGUAGAGGUGAAAUUCGUAGAUAUUCGGAGGAACACCAGUGGCGAAGGCGGCUCGCUGGCUCGAACCUGACGCUGAGGUGCGAAAGCGUGGGGAGCAAA